rnacentral:rRNA from 1 species
GAUGAACGCUCGCGAUAGGCUUAACACAUGCAAGUCGAGGGGUAACGUGUUGGAAGCUUGCUUCCGAUGACGACGACCGGCGGAUGGGUGCGUAACGCGUAUGCAACUUGCCUCACAGUGGAGAAUAACCCGGAGAAAUCCGGACUAAUACUCCAUACACUCUUAAGUACGCCUGUACAUGAGAGGAAAGAUUUAUCGCUGUGAGAUAGGCAUGCGUCCUAUUAGGUAGUUGGUGAGGUAACGGCUCACCAAGCCGACGAUAGGUAGGGGUGCUGAGAGGCAGAUCCCCCACAUUGGGACUGAGACACGGCCCAAACUCCUACGGGAGGCAGCAGUGAGGAAUAUUGGUCAAUGGAGGAAACUCUGAACCAGCCAAGUCGCGUGAAGGAAGAAUGUCCUAAGGAUUGUAAACUUCUUUAGCGAGCGAGUAAGGACUUCCACGUGAUGGGAGUUUGAAAGUAGCUCGAGAAUAAGUAUCGGCUAACUCCGUG